AUUGAACGCUGGCGGCAUGCUUUACACAUGCAAGUCGAACGGUAACAGGCCUUCGGGCGCUGACGAGUGGCGAACGGGUGAGUAAUGCAUCGGAACGUGCCCAGUCGUGGGGGAUAACGCAGCGAAAGCUGUGCUAAUACCGCAUACGAUCUGUGGAUGAAAGCGGGGGACCUUCGGGCCUCGCGCGAUUGGAGCGGCCGAUGUCAGAUUAGGUAGUUGGUGGGGUAAAGGCCCAGCAAGCCGACGAUCUGUAGCUGGUCUGAGAGGACGACCAGCCACACUGGGACUGAGACACGGCCCAGGCUCCUACGGGAGGCAGCAGUGGGGAAUUUUGGACAAUGGGCGCAAGCCUGAUCCAGCAAUGCCGCGUGCAGGAAGAAGGCCUUCGGGUUGUAAACUGCUUUUGUACGGAGCGAAAAGGCUCCCUCUAAUACAGGGGGCUCAUGACGGUACCGUAAGAAUAAGCACCGGCUAACUGCGUGCCAGCCGCCGCAGUAAUAC
rnacentral:rRNA from 1 species